GUGGGGAAUAUUGGGCAAUGGGCGAAAGCCUGACCCAGCAACGCCGCGUGAAGGAAGAAGGUUUUCGGAUCGUAAACUUCUAUCCUUGGUGAAGAUAAUGACGGUAGCCAAGAAGGAAGCCCCGGCUAACUACGUGCCAGCAGCCGCGGUAAUACGUAGGGGGCAAGCGUUGUCCGGAAUGAUUGGGCGUAAAGGGCGCGUAGGCGGCCCGGUAAGUCUGAAGUGAAAGUCCUGCUUUUAAGGUGGGAAUUGCUUUGGAUACUGUCGGGCUUGAGUGCAGGAGAGGUAAGCGGAAUGCCCGGUGUAGCGGUGAAAUGCGUAGAGAUCGGGAGGAACACCAGUGGCGAAGGCGGCUUACUGGACUGUAACUGACGCUGAGGCGCGAAAGUGUGGGGAGCAAACAGGAUUAGAUACCCGUGUAGUCC
rnacentral:rRNA from 1 species